GUUUGAUCAUGGCUCAGGACGAACGCUGGCGGCAUGCCUAACACAUGCAAGUCGAGGGGCCCUUCGGGGUCACUGGCGCACGGGUGAGUAACACGUAGGUCAUCUGCCCCUAUCACAGACAUAACUCCGGGAAACCGGUGCUAAUAUCUGAUGAGGUCGCGAGAUCAAAGCUUCGGCGGAUAGGGAUGAGCCUGCGGCUGAUUAGCUAGUUGGUGAGGUAAUGGCUCACCAAGGCGACGAUCAGUAGCUGGUCUGAGAGGACGAACAGCCACACUGGAACUGAGACACGGUCCAGACUCCUACGGGAGGCAGCAGUGAGGAAUAUUGGUCAAUGGGAGCAAUCCUGAACCAGCAAUGCCGCGUGUGGGAUGACAGGGCUUCGCCUUGUAAACCACUGUCGGAUGGGACGAGAGGGAGCCUUGGGCUCCUGGGACGGUACCAUCAAAGGAAGGGUCGGCUAACUACGUGCCAGCAGCCGCGGUAAUACGUAGGACCCGAGCGUUGUCCGGAUUCACUGGGUAUAAAGGGUGCGUAGGCGGUCUUGUGCGUCAGAGGUGAAAUAUCCGGGCUUAACCCGGAGGGUGCCUUUGAUACGGCAGGACUUGAGUCCGAGAGAGGAUGAUGGAAUUCCUGGUGUAGCGGUGAAAUGCGUAGAUAUCAGGAGGAACACCGGUGGCGAAGGCGGUCAUCUGGCUCGGAACUGACGCUGAGGCACGAAAGCGCGGGGAUCAAACAGGAUUAGAUACCCUGGUAGUCCGCGCCCUAAACGAUGUAUGCUUGGUGUUGGGCCUUUCGGGGCUCAGUGCCGUAGGGAAUCUGAUAAGCAUACCACCUGGGGAGUACGAUCGCAAGGUUGAAACUCAAAUGAAUUGACGG
rnacentral:rRNA from 1 species